AUUUUCUUCACCCACCUCCCUCUGUCAGAUGAGUUUAGUUCAGGUCACUGUGUACACCUUCAGGAGCAGGAGUCCAACAUGAUUGCAUUUCUCCUCACUCUGGCACUUUGGCUUUUUUCUGGUCGAGUGGAUGGAAGUGGUGUUCUCCAGGAGCCUGAUAAGAUCUGGGGUUCUCCAGGGAACUCUGUAGAAAUGAACUGCAGUCACAAUAAAGAUAUCAACCAUAGACAGAUGUACUGGUUUAAACAGCUUCCAGGGGAGAGAAUGACACUCCUUGUUUUUACACAGGUUGGUGUUGAAUCGGAUUAUGGGAAAUUCAGUAAAGACAAAUAUGAAGCGGUAAAGACGGUAGUUGAGAGCGGAUCUCUAACAGUGAAGAAUUUGGAUCCAGGAGACAGCGCUCUGUAUCUCUGUGCUGUGAGUCAACACUGUGGUACAAACUCACUACAGCACUGA